GGGAUUAGCGAGGGAUUAAUGCUGAUUGGUUCAAUCGGGAAGAAAAUCGACAGCUGGUUUCUGUCUAAUUCUAUUUUGGAAUUUUAGGGUUCUAAUAACAACUGUUAUAGCUCUUCCAUCUCUACUGCUUCUUCAAAAUUUUCCCGCGAAAAAAUGGAUCAUGAAGGGCAACGAGGCUCUUCAAAUCCCUCUGCAGUGCUCGCUUCUCUUCUUAGCAAGAGAGCCAAGCUUCACGAGGAGCUCCGAAACAUUGAAAAACAGGUCUAUGAUAUGGAGACAAAUUAUUUACAGGAUCCAAGCCAGUGUGGCAAUGUAUUGAAAGGUUUCGAAGGGUUCCUAUCUUCAUCUAAGAACACUGCACUGUAUGGAGUGGCCAUUUAAAUAUUUCCUUUGUUUGCCCUUUUUGAUGGGAAUUGAUGUUUUUAUUUUUACUACAUGUUAAAUUAUAAUUGGACUCCCCUUUUAUUCAAUAUAAUGGUAUACUGAAGUAGGAAUUUGUGCUAAGAAUUUUAUCCAGCAAAGAAAAUAGUUGUCUGCAGAAAGUUACAUUGUUGGGUACUUUAUUGAUUAAUGCCUGGCAAAAAUCUUUUUUACGCUAAAAUCUCUCCUUGUGGUGGUGAUAUUACUUACACUGUAUAUUCUUCUUAAAUGGAGAGGGACCUAAAAAUCCAGUUUCUAUAAAGCAUUUAUCCUUUCAUGUUUAAUGUUUUAACACAUUGAUAUUCUGCUAAAAUGUUUUGCGUUAUAAAAGUUUAGCAUAAUAGAAUAGAAUUUUUCUUCCUCUGGAGGGAAUAUCCAUCUGAGGUUUAGAUCUUCCUUUGAUAAUUAAAUCAACUCAUUGCAUGUUUCUUUGCAUUUCAAUACAGGAAUAUGUCAUGAAAAAUGGAGUUGGUACCAUUAUUUCUGCCAUGUAAUUAAAUAAGCUCAUGUAAGUUUUGAUCUGUCUUAGUUUUAGUUAAAAAAAAAAAAAAAGCUGAUAAUCCCUAUUAGGGAGUUUGGGUUCCUAUGAUCAAGUAAAUUAAUAGUCAUGAUGGAACAUUUUCUUUUGAAUUCUUUGUAUUUUUGCUUCAGAGAGGGGAUUAUGAAUCAUCCAUGUGUAUUCUUCCUUAUGAUUGUUCAGCAUUGAAUCUAGGGGAUACAAAAGAACCUAUAUAGAUUAAUUAGUCACCUGUUUCUCUGAAGGAAUGGUAUAAGCCUGAAGAUAGCACAAUGCCUGAUUUAUGUAGGUGAUAGCAUAAGGAGGUGUGUACAAAUUUCUCAGGGUUGGAUUCAGUUGGAUAAUGGUAUAAACUGACAUGAGUUUCUUCAAAAACUUGUUGCUGCAGCUUGAAGCGGUCAAGGAAAUUCCAGCCUGAAGAUAGGCUUUUUUCAUUAUCUUCAGUCACCUCAUUAGCAGUAUGUACUCUGUAUCUUCAAUGUUGUAGUGGUAGCACUUCCAGUGUUUCUUUCUCCCUUCCUCUAUUUUGUUUUCCUGUUUUCAUCUCUUCCUCUGAGAAGUGGCCAGGGUAAUUCCCAAUGAUAGAUAAAGUGAACUUUGAUAUUGAUAUAUAAUUUCAGGUUAUAAAAAUUGCACAUGAACCUGGUGUUUUUCACCAAAUAGCCUCCUUUCAAUUGAUGGGGUUUAUAAUAGUGAGAGACAUUAAAUAUCCUCCAAAAGUCAUCUUCUUCUAUACUUUGAAGGGAACAAAUGGUUAUCUGUGAGCAUUUAAAUUUUUUAUAAAUGGGAUAAGAGAAAAGAAAAAACCUGCUGAAUUUGUCUCAGUUCAUGCCAAAUAACCAUGUUUUCAAAGUAGUCUCAUCAUUACUCUAUUUCUGGUGCAUACUAUAUCCAGGUCUCUUGUAACCAGAGGCAUUAGGUUGGAAACCUUUUUUGAUGCUAGACCAUGAACAUAGUAACAUCUAUAUAUAUAUAUAUAAAGGAGUGGAAAAACUUGCUAAUGUGUUUUUCUUCCCAAAUUUUGAUCUACUAGGAAGUUGUCUAAUGUGUUAUUCAAAAUUCUCUUGCACUCUUCUUUUCCCAUUGUCAGGCUGAAGAGCAAGCAGUUGGACGAGAUGAUGGGAGAUCAGAUUAUGGUGUAGUUCGUCCUAAGGGUGGAGGAAUAUAUGCAAAUGGGCAAGGAAAACCAAAGAAGGGAAGAGGUGGACCAAGAGAAGCUAAGAGAAUCAGGCCUUCAGCUGAUCCAGAUUUUGACUUUGAUGACUAUCCUGAUUUGACACUCUGAAAUCUCUCUUGCCAGAUGCUAUGGUGGUUGGCCUUUGUAUGAUCAAGAGCCUAAAGGCAGAACUUCUUUUCUUACAUCCCCCCACCCCCAACUUCCCUCUUUCCCUUUCUUUUCUUUUCCUUUUCUGCUAUUAUUAUUUGUCUUCUUUUGAGCAUUGUUCAAGCAAACAGAGCUCCUGACAAAGUUAAUUUACGAUGCUAAUAUGAGGAAUGAUCAGUUACUUAUCUUUGUUUGAGAAAAAGAACUCAAUAUGAUCAUGUUUCCUGCAGAUAGCUUAUUUAUGUUGUCUCAAAUACUUUCCUAAGGGGAAGGGUCUCAGUAAGGCUACCAAGAGUAGCAGGCUGGCUGAGCUUGCUUUGUGCAAAAGCCUUGUUUAAUGUAAUUAUUUUGCUCUCAGCAUAUAUCAUCCUGACUGGGAAAAGUUUUGGGUUG
rnacentral:misc_RNA from 1 species